rnacentral:rRNA from 1 species
GAUGAACGCUAGUGAAAUGCUUUACACAUGCAAGUUAAACUAAAUUUUUAUUGAAAAAUUAAGUAGCGAACGGGUGAGUAACACGUAAGAACUUACUUUUAGGAAAGAAAUAACAAAGGGAAGCUUUUGCUAAUAACUUAUUUAUUAAAAUAUUUUUAUUAUUUUUUAUAAAAGAAGACUUAAUAACUUCACCUAAAAAAAGGCUUGCGUCUAAUUAGCUUGUUGGUAGAGUAAUACCCUAUCAAGGCGAUGAUUAGUAUCUGGUUUGGGAGAAUGGUCAGACACACUGAAACUGAGACACGGUUCAGACUUCUACGGGAGGCAGCAGUGAGGAAUCUUCCGCAAUGGGCAUAAGCCUGACGGAGUAAUUUCGCGUGAAGGAUGACGGUUUAUGGAUUGUAAACUUCUUUUUUCAAGGAGGAAUUUUGACGUGUAAUUGAAGAAUAAGCAUCGGCUAAUUCCGUGCCAGCAGCCGCGGUAAUACGGGAGAUGUAAGUGUUAUCCGAAUUUAUUGGGCGUAAAGCGUUUGUAGGUUGUUUAAUAAGUCAAUUGUUAAACCUUGAAGCUUAACUUCAAAAAUGCAAUCGAAACUAUUAGACUAAGAGUUUGGUAAGGGUAAAAGGAAUUUUUAGAGAAGCGGUGAAAUGUGUAGAUAUUAAGAAGAAGAUCAGUGGCGAAGGCAUUUUACUAGGCUUUAGUACUGACAUUUAGAAACGAAAGCUAUGGUAGCAAAUGGGAUUAGAUACCCCAGUAGUCUUAGCUGUAAACGAUGGAUACUAUUCGCUGGGUAAUUUAUAUUAUACAGUAUUGAAGCUAACGCAUUAAGUGUCCCGCCUGGGAAGUAUGCUUGCAAGAGUAAAACUCAAAGGAAUUGACGGGGGCCCGCGCAAGCGGUGGAGCAUGUGGUUUAAUUCGAUGCAACGCGAUGAACCUUACCAGAGUUUGACAUAAUAUGAAUUUUUUUGAAAAAAAAAAGUGCCAAUUGGAACAUAUAUACAGGUGGUGCAUGGCUGUCGUCAGUUCGUGUCGUGAGAUGUCGGGUUAAGUCCUGUAACGAGCGUAACCCUUAUUUUUAGUUGCCAUUUGGAAAUCUAAAAAAACUGCUGAUUAUAAGUCUGAGGAAGGAGAGGAUGACGUCAAGUCAGCAUGCCCCUUAUAUUCUGGGCUACACACGUGCUACAAUGGAUAAGACAAUGAGAUGCAAUUUUGUGAGAAAAAGCUAAUCUAUAAACUUAUUCUAAGUUCGGAUUGUAGACUGCAACUCGUCUACAUAAAGUUGGAAUCGCUAGUAAUCGCUGGUCAGCUAUACAGCGGUGAAUUCGUUUUCGGGCCUUGUACACACCGCCCGUCACACCAUGGAAAUGUGUUUUAUUUAAAAUUAUUUUUUUUAAUUUUUUUAUAUUAUUUUAAUUUUAUAAAAAAUACUUAGAAUGAAAUUUGUAACUGGGGUGAAGUCGUAACAAGGUAACUGUAC